rnacentral:rRNA from 1 species
GACGAACGCUGGCGGCGUGCUUAACACAUGCAAGUCGAACGGAAAGGCCCUGCUUUUGUGGGGUGCUCGAGUGGCGAACGGGUGAGUAACACGUGAGUAACCUGCCCUUGACUUUGGGAUAACUUCAGGAAACUGGGGCUAAUACCGGAUAGGAGCUCCUGCUGCAUGGUGGGGGUUGGAAAGUUUCGGCGGUUGGGGAUGGACUCGCGGCUUAUCAGCUUGUUGGUGGGGUAGUGGCUUACCAAGGCUUUGACGGGUAGCCGGCCUGAGAGGGUGACCGGCGACAUUGGGACUGAGAUACGGCCCAGACUCCUACGGGAGGCAGCAGUGGGGAAUAGUGUAAAAUGGGCGGAAGCCUGAUGCAGCAACGCAGCGUGCGGGAUGACGGCCUUCGGGUUGUAAACCGCUUUCGCAUGUGACGAAGCGUGAGUGACGGUAAUGGGUAAAGAAGCACCGGCUAACUACGUG